CAGCCGCCGCGGGAAAACAGAGGGUGCGAGCGUUAAUCGGAUUUACUGGGCGUAAAGCGUGCGUAGGCGGCUUUUUAAGUCGGAUGUGAAAUCCCUGAGCUUAACUUAGGAAUUGCAUUCGAUACUGGGAAGCUAGAGUAUGGGAGAGGAUGGUAGAAUUCCAGGUGUAGCGGUGAAAUGCGUAGAGAUCUGGAGGAAUACCGAUGGCGAAGGCAGCCAUCUAGCCUAAUACUGACGCUGAGGUACGAAAGCAUGGGGAGCAAACAGGAUUAGAUACCCCUGUAGUCCCUGUCUCUUAUAC
rnacentral:rRNA from 1 species